AUGAACGCUAGCGACAGGCUUAACACAUGCAAGUCGAGGGGCAGCGGGGGUAGCAAUACCCGCCGGCGACCGGCGCACGGGUGAGUAACGCGUAUGCAACUUACCUAUCAGAGGGGGAUAACCCGGCGAAAGUCGGACUAAUACCGCAUGAAGCAGGGGCCCCGCAUGGGGAUAUUUGCUAAAGAUUCAUCGCUGAUAGAUAGGCAUGCGUUCCAUUAGGCAGUUGGCGGGGUAACGGCCCACCAAACCGACGAUGGAUAGGGGUUCUGAGAGGAAGGUCCCCCACAUUGGUACUGAGACACGGACCAAACUCCUACGGGAGGCAGCAGUGAGGAAUAUUGGUCAAUGGCCGAGAGGCUGAACCAGCCAAGUCGCGUGAGGGAUGAAGGUUCUAUGGAUCGUAAACCUCUUUUAUAAGGGAAUAAAGUGCGGGACGUGUCCCGUUUUGUAUGUACCUUAUGAAUAAGGAUCGGCUAACUCCGUGCCAGCAGCCGCGGUAAUACGGAGGAUCCGAGCGUUAUCCGGAUUUAUUGGGUUUAAAGGGUGCGUAGGCGGCCUUUUAAGUCAGCGGUGAAAGUCUGUGGCUCAACCAUAGAAUUGCCGUUGAAACUGGGGGGCUUGAGUAUGUUUGAGGCAGGCGGAAUGCGUGGUGUAGCGGUGAAAUGCAUAGAUAUCACGCAGAACCCCGAUUGCGAAGGCAGCCUGCCAAGCCAUUACUGACGCUGAUGCACGAAAGCGUGGGGAUCAAACAGGAUUAGAUACCCUGGUAGUCCACGCAGUAAACGAUGAUCACUAGCUGUUUGCGAUACAGUGUAAGCGGCACAGCGAAAGCGUUAAGUGAUCCACCUGGGGAGUACGCCGGCAACGGUGAAACUCAAAGGAAUUGACGGGGGCCCGCACAAGCGGAGGAACAUGUGGUUUAAUUCGAUGAUACGCGAGGAACCUUACCCGGGUUUGAACGCAUUCGGACCGAGGUGGAAACACCUUUUCUAGCAAUAGCCGUUUGCGAGGUGCUGCAUGGUUGUCGUCAGCUCGUGCCGUGAGGUGUCGGCUUAAGUGCCAUAACGAGCGCAACCCUUGCCACUAGUUACUAACAGGUGAUGCUGAGGACUCUGGUGGGACUGCCAGCGUAAGCUGCGAGGAAGGCGGGGAUGACGUCAAAUCAGCACGGCCCUUACAUCCGGGGCGACACACGUGUUACAAUGGCGUGGACAAAGGGAGGCCACCUGGCGACAGGGAGCGAAUCCCCAAACCACGUCUCAGUUCGGAUCGGAGUCUGCAACCCGACUCCGUGAAGCUGGAUUCGCUAGUAAUCGCGCAUCAGCCAUGGCGCGGUGAAUACGUUCCCGGGCCUUGUACACACCGCCCGUCAAGCCAUGGGAGCCGGGGGUACCUGAAGUCCGUAACCGAAAGGAUCGGCCUAGGGUAAAACUGGUGACUGGGGCU
rnacentral:rRNA from 1 species